GACGUAGGGCGCAAGCGUUGUCCGGAUUUAUUGGGCGUAAAGAGCUCGUAGGCGGUUUGUCGCGUCUGCUGUGAAAAUCCAGGGCUUAACCCUGGACCUGCAGUGGGUACGGGCAGACUGGAGUGCGGUAGGGGAGAUCGGAAUUCCUGGUGUAGCGGUGAAAUGCGCAGAUAUCAGGAGGAACACCGGUGGCGAAGGCGGAUCUCUGGGCCGUAACUGACGCUGAGGAGCGAAAGCAUGGGGAGCGAACAGG
rnacentral:rRNA from 1 species